GCGAGGACCAGUCCGUGCUCGGAAAGGGAGGUGUCCUACGGGCCGCUGCAGGGGUCCCGGCCUUGAAAAGAAGCGUACCGGAGCUGCGCCUUGGGCUCUUGGGUAACGAAGCGCCCACCUGGAUUUAUAGGGGAUUUGGAAGCUCUCCUUCAAGUUGUCUCGCCUUACCGAAGUGAACCAAUGUUCAUCUUACACAUAUUGAUUGAUGUCUCAUGUCUCCCUAAAAUGUAUAAAAGCAAGAUGUACCCCAACCACCUUGGGCACAGGUCGGCAGGACCUCCUGAGGCUAUGUCAGGGUGCGUCCUUAACCUUGGCAAAAUAAACUUUCUAAAUUGAUUGAGAA